rnacentral:rRNA from 1 species
GACGAACGCUGGCGGCGUGCCUAAUACAUGCAAGUUGAGCGCUGAAGGUUGGUACUUGUACCAACUGGAUGAGCAGCGAACGGGUGAGUAACGCGUGGUGAAUCUGCCUUUGAGCGGGGGACAACAUUUGGAAACGAAUGCUAAUACCGCAUAAAAACUUUAAACACAAGUUUUAAGUUUGAAAGAUGCAAUUGCAUCACUCAAAGAUGAUCCCGCGUUGUAUUAGCUAGUUGGUGAGGUAAAGGCUCACCAAGGCGAUGAUACAUAGCCGACCUGAGAGGGUGAUCGGCCACAUUGGGACUGAGACACGGCCCAAACUCCUACGGGAGGCAGCAGUAGGGAAUCUUCGGCAAUGGACGAAAGUCUGACCGAGCAACGCCGCGUGAGUGAAGAAGGUUUUCGGAUCGUAAAACUCUGUUGGUAGAGAAGAACGUUGGUGAGAGUGGAAAGCUCAUCAAGUGACGGUAACUACCCAGAAAGGGACGGCUAACUACGUG